rnacentral:rRNA from 1 species
UACGAAGGGGGCUAGCGUUGUUCGGAAUUACUGGGCGUAAAGCGUGCGCAGGCGGCUUCUCAAGUCAGGGGUGAAAGCCCAGAGCUCAACUCUGGAAUUGCCUUUGAGACUGAGUGGCUUGAGUACGAGAGAGGGUGAGUGGAAUUCCCAGUGUAGAGGUGAAAUUCGUAGAUAUUGGGAAGAACACCGGUGGCGAAGGCGGCUCACUGGCUCGUAACUGACGCUCAUGCACGACAGCGUGGGGAUCAAACAGG